rnacentral:lncRNA from 1 species
CAGGAGCACAGAUUUUCUUGAUAAUCGUGGUAUCAAAUUCAGGAUUCAAGUGCGGACUUUUCAUGGCAGCAUGUACCCACCAGAUUAAUAUUCCUGUGCAUUUUUGUUGAACUGUUCCCUGUCUUUCAUUUGCUUAGUAUUCAAAGCUAAAUGUUCCUCCUCUUCUAUCUCCCUCCAUCCCUUUACAGAUGUUACUCUGGCUCAGUGAGAGAUACUAUAAGGAAGCUCCUACGUAUGAAUGAAAUGUUUUUUCCAACAGAGAGGUCAAGGGAUCCUCUGCUCCUGAAGCUGGCCAAGGGAAAGUGUGACAACUGUAACCAUGUGCUGGAGAAUCCUGUUGAAGAAGAUACUAACAUAGAUACAGUAAAAUAAAUUAUGAACCCCUGAGAAUUCUGCUUGUUUGGAUGGAAAUAAGAUGAAUAUGAGUUUGUAACAUGUCCUUAGCGAGAUUGUCCAAAGAAGGGAGUCAAGCCAAAGUAAGAAAAAUCUACCAGUGUAGUGGAAGGCUAAAAACAGGCUUUUGUAAGCUUUUAAAUCAUGUUUGUUCUGCCUGAAUUGCAGGUGAGAGCAGGAGCUGGAGCAGCUCGGUGACUGUCUGUGGGCCAGCAGCCUCUCAAGCUGCAGCUCCUGUCUCAUGGACAGCAAGCCCCGAGGAGAGCCUCGAGAUGAAGCGCAGGCUGAGGCAACUCGUUCUGCCUGCUGUUCUGCUUUAGGACAUCAUCCUCCUCUCCUUCCCCUGUGCCUCACUCCCACCUUCACAGCCACUUGUUCUGCCUUGUCUCUGUUCCCUCCUUGUGCCAAGUGUCAAAUCAAUUGUCUGUGUGAUUAGUAAGAACAAUUGUCCAGGAUGGACUGACAACCUCUGAAAUGAUUAGAAGGAAGUCGGAAUAUCCCUGGAAGAGGGGAUCAGAAGAGAACUCUGGCGAUAAGGACAUUUUUUUUCAUUGUGAUGCUCUCAGAUGGCCAGUGACUGGGAAUUUCCGCCGUGACCAUCACCACAAGGCUUGCAGCAAGGCAGCCUGGGGUUUUGUUCAAGGCUCAUCUUCUUAUUGCCAGCAGAUAGUUAGCUUCUGCCUGCACAUUGCCAGGCCCAGGUACUAGAUGAGAAUGAAAAGGAGCCUGUCUUUGCUCAGACCGUCUUGGCUUUGUCCCGAGCCCACACUGCUAUAGGUGCUCAUAGGUUUUCUUCCUGUGCUCUGAUAGGGUAAUGAAAGUAUGGAAUAAAUAUGGACACGGUUCAUUUUCUGUAACUGUC